CAAGCAUUGCAGAAGCUGUCUCCUGUCCUUUAGGUGACAAAGCCUAGGAGGACUCUGGAUUACUUGGAAUAAAGAAAAACAAGGAAGAGAAAGCUAAAUGAAAGCUAAAUAACAGACUGAAAAGGAGAGAAAACUAAUCUAAAAUUUCACCGAUGGAGUGCAUCAUACAAAUUCAAGGGUCCACAGAUCAGAUUGCACGGCUAUGGAGAAGCAGAUACUGUGGGUUUAACACUGGCUACUACACCAC